rnacentral:sRNA from 23 species
GCUGUCGCAAAAUCGGCAGCCGGAAUUGGCGUUCCGUAUAACUUAUUGGCGACAAUUGACGCCCCUUGCGUCUUUUUU